UGGCCUCUUCGGGGCCCGAGUUGUAAUUUGUAGAGGGUGUUUCGGGUGAGGUGUCGGCCUAAGUCCCUUGGAACAGGGUGUCAUAGAGGGUGAGAACCCCGUCUGCGGCCGGCAACCGACCCCCCGUGAAACCCCUUCGACGAGUCGGGUUGUUUGGGAAUGCAGCUCUAAACGGGUGGUAAAUUUCAUCUAAAGCUAAAUACCGGCCAGAGACCGAUAGCGCACAAGUAGAGUGAUCGAAAGAUGAAAAGCACUUUGGAAAGAGAGUUAAAAAGUACGUGAAAUUGUUGAAAGGGAAGCGCUUGCAACCAGACCUGUCUUCGGGUGAUCAGCCGUCGUUCUCGAUGGUGUACUCGCUCGGUGCAGGCCAGCAUCGAUUCGGGCGGUUGGAUAAAGGCCGGGGGAACGUGGCUCCCCUCGGGGAGUGUUAUAGCCCUCGGUGCAAUGCGGCCAGCCUGGAUCGAGGACCGCGCUUCGGCUAGGAUGCUGGCGUAAUGGUUGUAAGCGGCCCGUCUUGAAACACGGACCAAGGAGUCGAUCAUCUAUGCGAGUGUUUGGGUGUCAAACCCAUGCGCGGAAUGAAAGUGAACGGAGGUGAGAACUCUUCAGAGCGCAUCAUCGACCGAUCC
rnacentral:rRNA from 1 species